rnacentral:misc_RNA from 1 species
CUUGCAAUGAAUGCAAUCAUAGAAAAUAACGUCUUAUUUACUUCAUAGUUUUGUGUGGUAAAUCUAUUCUUUGUGUCUUUGAUCCAAGAGUGAUUGAUUCUUAUGCUGGAGACACAAGCCUUAUGUUCUUGAAAUUUUAAUCUCUCAUUUAAACAAAUUAAGGUUGAACAUAACAAAAUUGUCUCUGUAGCAUUCUUUGACAUGUCAGAUAAUUCCCCACUCCCCUUUUAUGUUAUAAUCAAAAGCAGCCAUGACAUGGAAUAGCGUGUUUCAUGGUUAAUUUGACCUGGUCCUUGGUAACUUGGAUAUGUUCCUCGUCUUUUAUCUUGUUUUUCAAUUGAAAAUCACACUGCAACUGACUAUUUGUCUUCUAAUGAAUGUUGAAUCUGGUUCUUUAUUUAAUAUCAAAAUUGCAUUCCUAAACAGAUCUUCCCAUAUUGGCUUGGAGUCUAUAUGCAUCUACCAGUCUGGCUACUUGAAAUAUUUUGUCAUCUCCCUCUUUUAAUGGAGAAUUCUAGUAUGUUCUUACAUAUUGCCUUUUGAAGUGCAUGCACAUGUGUGUUUGCAUUGAUACAAAUAUUUUGUAUUUUCUAGGAUAUUAACUUGUUUUCAUUAAUUUUUGUCGAUAAGAAUGUGCUGAUCCUUUUCUUCCAAAUACAGAUACUGGUUCCAGACACCAGAGG